rnacentral:lncRNA from 1 species
ACGCCUGUAAGUGGGAAGUGCCUGCUCGCUCCCUGCGCUCCUGGUGCCCCGCCGGGACACGGAGAUGCCGGGCAGCACGGCCGGGUCGGCCCAGCCCGGGGCACCCUGCGCCGAGCGGGCUCCCUGCGGCCGCGCACCGAGAAGCCGGAGCUCCUCUUCCUGCCCCGCAGACCCUCGAGCCGCCCCCACCACCCCCCUCCUUCUCUUCCUCCUCCUCCUCCUCCCUCGCAGGCGGUGGUGCUGAAUCACGGCAGGCAGCCGCUCCGCUUCCUUUCCCCGGGGACGGCGGCGCGGACCGCGAGCAGCGGGGGCGAGGGCAGAAGGGGGGCGGGGGGUCAACGGCCGCCGCUGCCGGGAGGAGACGCAAGCCACCAUCCCGCGCUGCCCCACCGUUACCUGUCGGGCAGGGGCACGGCGUCCGGCGGUCCCGCGGGUGCGGUGCGGAGCGAGCGGCGCCUUACGGGCUGUGCAGCGGAGCCCUCCCGGGACGCAGCAUCCACCCCGGCACCCGGAGAGCUGGGCACUAACAGGAGGAGGAGCGGCAGAGUACGGCUGGGAGGCCGGGAGAAACCAUUCCCCGCGAGGGGGCAGCGCCUGGAGUGGUCGGGCGGGGCGAGGAGGAGCGGCCCUCCGCACGCAGGUACGUGCGGGACGGACGCCGAGGCGCGGCGAGGUGCCCGCAGCGGGGCGGGCGGCGCAGGGCCGGGUCAGAGCCCGCAGAGCACCGCCCCCCCGCCCACCCCCCCUGCGGCUCGCAUUGGGAGCGGCCCGCGCUCUGCCCGGGGCAGCGAGCAGGACGGAGCAACGGCGUUCCAGGAGGCGGAACGCUCGGGUCCCUACACCGCUGCAACCCGGGCAGCCGCGCUGAUUUCCAGCGGUUGUCAGACAUCUAUUUUUUUUUCCUUCCCACUUGGCCUGAUAACCCAUGUGUGUGGAACAGCAGUAGGCCGCUCCAAAAGUCAGUCAUUUUCUGUAACGUUGUGCAUCCUAGCACAAGACACACGACCUAGGGAGAUAAAUGCUUCAGUAACAGUAAAUAAAAUGGAGGGGCAUUCAUCACCCGGAUUUUUAAGAACAUUGUCUUUUACAUCCAGCAACAAAGACAGCUGA